GAACCUGAAACCGUGUACGUACAAGCAGUAGGAGCCCCACCACCAAAGCGUUUCGCUUUGCGUGGUGCGCAAAAUGCGUAACGACAGCAUGAUGGACGGUUAACGGAGCGUCAGCGACGUUCAACCUCAAAAAUCAGGCAGUGGAGCGUUUUGGGGUGGGGUGACUGCGUACCUUUUGUAUAAUGGGUCAGCGACUUAUAUUCUGUAGCAAGGUUAACCGAAUAGGGGAGCCGCAGGGAAACCGAGUCUUAACUGGGCGUUAAGUUGCA
rnacentral:rRNA from 1 species